rnacentral:rRNA from 1 species
AUAACUAAGCGGUGGAAAAGAAACCAAAUGGGAUUCCCUGAGUAACGGCGAGCGAAAGGGGAAGAGUCCAGCGCCAAGUCUUGACACUVGHGUGUUCAAGAGAUGCGGCGUUAAUGUGUUGGUGCAUCGUGCAUCGUUUGGUGUUUCAAGUUUCCUUGAGAGGAACUUCCAGAGUGGGUUCUAGGCCCAUAGAGACACGAAACCGGUGUACGCAGGCCAAUGCAUUCUAGAGUCAGGUUGCUUGAGAGUGCAGCUUAAAGCCGGUGGUAAACUCCAUCCAAGACUAAAUAUUACAGCGAGACCGAUAGCAAACAAGUACAGUGAUGGAAAGUUGCAAAGCACUUUGAAGAGAGAGUUCAAUAGUACGUGAAACCAUUGGCAGGCAAACAGAUGGAACCACGAAGUUGCGCUUUGGUCGAUUCAACCGRAGCUGUGCGUCAGUGGUGUUGGUCGAGGAUCUCUUCGGAGGUUGGACCAGCGUCUUUAGAUGUGCAGCAUUGGUGCAUUUCGAACCAGAGAUGCUAAGCCACGUUCGACUAGACGGUUGGAACGGCUGUAGGAMAGGGUUUGAGGAAGGUGCCCGUCAGUUGCUUGCAGUUGACGGCGUUAUAGACUCGAACCGGCACCGUUGCCUAACGAACUGGUCGAUGAAAUUGUUCCGAAAGGAAUUGAACUGUGCUUGCCUGUGGUGGCUAGUCAGUGCUGAUUGGCGUUCUUUGCGUGCUUUCGGGUGCGAAAAGCCGUUGUGAAUGUGCUGGCUAGUCGCUGCUUGCGUAGCGCAGUGGAACUGUGGCACGAGUAGGUCGGUGUCCAUCUGACCCGUCUUGAAACACGGACCAAGGAGCCUACCAUAUACGCGAGUCGCUCGGUCUUGAUUAGGCCCGAGAGGCAGAAUGAAAGUAAAGCUACGAUGCUCAYGCAGCAGUAGCAKCUCGCCUGCUUCGUUUGUUGGCGAUUUGGCGAAGCUGGAGCGUAUACGGUGGUACCCGAAAGAUGGUGAACUAUGCCUGGGCAAGACGAAGUCAGAGGAAACUCUGAUGGAGGUCUGUAGCGAUUCUGACGUGCAAAUCGAUCGUCAGACCUGGGUAUAGGGGCGAAAGACUAAUCGAACCAUCUAGUAGCUGGUUCCCUUCGAAGUUUCCCUCAGGAUAGCAGGCGCUUGUGAUAGUGUCAUCCGGUAAAGCUAAUGAUUAGAGGUCUUGGGGCUGAAACGGCCUCAACCUAUUCUCAAACUUUAAAUGGGUGAGAUGGUCGACUUUCUUGAUUGAAGCCGACCGAUCGGAUAUGAGUGCCUAGUGGGCCAUUUUUGGUAAGCAGAACUGGCGCUGUGGGAUGAACCAAACGUCGAGAUAAGGCAUCGAAUGUGCACGCUCAUGAGACCCCAUAAAAGGUGUUGGUUGCUAUAGACAGCAGGACGGUGGCCAUGGAAGUCGGAAUCCGCUAAGGAGUGUGUAACAACUCACCUGCCGAAGCAACUAGCCCUGAAAAUGGACGAUGCUGUAGCGUGAAGCCGAUACUCGACCGUGAUGGCGAUUCGGAGAAUGCGAUGUCAUCACGAGUAGAAGGGCCGCAAUGGUAGCGUGGAAGAUGUCAGGCGUGAGCCUGCUUGGAGCUGCCAUUGUUGCAGAUCUUGGUGGUAGUAGCAAUUACUCAAGUGAGAAUCUUGAGGACUAACGUGGAGAAGGGUUCCAUGUGAACAGCAGUUGGACAUGGUUCAGUCGGUCCUAAGGAAGCGGUGAAAACCGUUACAACAGCACGAUACAAUUUCGAUAAUGAUACCGUGUUGAUUUUCCGAAAGGGAAUCAGGUCAAUAUUCCUGAACUGAGACACGGAGGAUGCUUCUUCGGGAGCUAAUGCGGUAACGCUAUCAAAUUCGGAGACAUCGGCGGCAGUCCCGGGAAGAGUUGUCUUUUCUCUAUAAGGCGUCGAAUCCAUGAAAACAGCUUGUCUGGAGAUAUGGAUGUUGACGGCGAAGAGCUCAGCGGUUCUUGCUGAGUCCGGUGCGCUGUUGUCGGUCCUUGAAAAUCCGAAGGCGUGUUUACCUCGGUGCUCAGCCGUACCAAUAUCCGCAGCAGGUCUCCAAGGUUAACAGCCUCUAGUUUCUAGAAUAAUGUAGGUAAGGGAAGUCGGCAAAACUGAUCCGUAACUUCGGGAUAAGGAUUGGCUCUGAAGGAUGGGYCGUUCGGGCUGCGGCCGGAACCAGGUGAUGCACUGGCUGAGGCUGGACGCUGGCAACGGUGAUCGGACUCGUGCCGGUGUUGGCCUGCGGAAGGUCGUGGCUACGCUCCUGGGCCCUGUGCUUGGGAUGUCGUUUCGGGCGGCAUUAAACAUCCGAAUCAGAACUGGCACGGACCACGGGAAUCCGACUGUCUAAUUAAAACAAAGCAUUGCGAUGGCCGGUGACCGGUGAUGACGCAAUGUGAUUUCUGCCCAGUGGUAUGAAUGUCAAUGUGAAGAAAUUCACUCAAGCGCUACUAAACGGCGGGAGUAACUAUGACUC